AUGCGUUCUGCUUUGCUUAUCACUUCCCAGGGGUUCAGUAUUUGUUAAUCCGUGUCUGUACUUGUGCUUUUAUUACAGAUGAAGUUAACACUUUAGCAGUAAGUGUAGGUUUAGCAUCCAUCUCUUACCUCAGGCCAAGGAGACUUGAUGUUUGAUGUUGAACUUUAUCACUCGUCUCUGGUAGUUGAACUUUUCUUGUGCUUAUCCCAUGUGUCUGAAUGAGAAAGGACUAAGGGAAGCGUGGGCGGUGUCUGAGAAAGAUGAGUGGAGUCAUCACAGCUCCCGCUGGCGCAUCCUUGUAGAGCUCUGUAACGCCUGCCUUUCCAAUACGGGUAAAAUAAUGAACAUGGAGCUGCCAUCCAGGUACUGGGAACCUAGCGGACUAGAAAUUAUUUACACUUAAUUCCCAUUAAUUUUUUUGAUUUAAGAAUGUGCUUGGUCCAUCAUCUUUGCAGUUUAGAGAAAUAGAUGGUGUUGUUAACAUUGUGAUAGUAAUAUUUGUUAUAACCCUAGUUAAUACUAUUUUUCCCAAGCCCUUAGUACAGAACAGAAGUUCUUUUUGCAAAAAAAAAGUUCUUUUGUGUCCAAAAUUGUCCACAGCUUUGCUCACUUACUUUAAAGUAUUCUGGAGAGUAAUGCAAACGAAUCAGAGCUAACGGUUUAAAUAAUUCAGGAAGGAACUAUAAAGUGUUCAUCAAAACACUUUUUGUUUUGUUUUGUUUUGUUUUGUUUCGAGACAGUGUUUGUAUAGUAGCCUUGGCUGUUCUGGAACUCACUCUAUAGUCCAGGCUAGCCUUGAACUCUGAGAUCUACUUACUUCCUGAGUGCUGGGAUUAAAGGUGUGUACCCCUACUGCCUGGUUUAUCAAACUAUUUUAAUGAAUAACAAUGACAAACGUAAAUUAAUUCCUCUUAUAGGGCAGCUUUUCAGCUACUAUCACAAAGUCAGAUUAUACUGGUUGUACAAAAGCAGUUGAAUUUGAGGGAUAUUUCUAAUGUUUUUUGUGACAGAUGCCUGAUAAAAUAUAUCAGGGCUGUGGGACAUGAUCUUUUUGCUACAUUUAUUAGAUUGAUCAGGACUUUAAUCCGGCAGUGUUGUGGCCUUUUAUCUUGUCUCCUUUCUGGGAAAAAAAAAAGGUUUUUUUUCUCUGUAUUCUUUUAAAAUUGUAUUUUAAUACCGUGUUUUAAGAAAGAAUUUUCCCUGAAUGUUUUACAGUUUUUAGGUUAUGAGUCUAAUAUACUUGAGAUCAGUUUGAGGCAGAAAAACGUAAUUGCAUAAAGGAAAGAUUUCAGGUAGAAGUAAGAUGAACUGGUGCAUGGUGCCAAACCAACAGGUCCCAGCAUGAGAGACUAAGUCAGGAGGGAACCCAAUAAACCCAAACAGAUCGACAAAAACAUGUUUUCCAUUUAUGCAUAACCUUUCUUAAAAAGAUUUUUAUUUGCAGGAACAAGGAAGACCUAUGUUUUAGAGGAAUAACUAAAACCUCAAAAAGUAUGAUAUCUUGCUUUCUUAUUUUUGGAAUGGGUGCCCGUGUCAUCCAGUUUGGGGUUGGAUUGUGCAUUCAGGUGAAUCUAGUUUUUUAGCUUCCUGAGAGUGUGGGACUUCACGCUUGCGUGACCGUGGCCAGCUCCACUGUAAACACUGUGAAUUUCUUUAGAAUUUAUUGCUUCUGAACUGAGAGCCCGGCAAGCGUGAGGCACACAUUCAUCCUCUGGGGCCCACCUGGUCUAGGAAAUGACAUUUCAAUAGGUCUAUUUCCCUUUGAUUUUUGUUGUCUUUGUUAUGGGUUAUUCUCUUAAGUUUUCACUGGUUAUUGAUUCUGAAAAAUAGUAAUUCAUACUUUUAAAAAUGAACUUUCAUGGUGACUAAGAAAAGCAAUACUCCCCAUGAAAUAAUUAGGUAGUGACUGUAACUCUCAAAAGGUAGCAUUUUAUGCCCUUCAGUCGACAAGAAGAGUGUAGGGGGCAUGGAGUCCUUUGGAGUUUGGGAUGCUGUUUGCUGUUAAGACAGUGCUCAGUUCCGAUGCAGCGUGGAGCCGCUGGGUGAGAGAAACCACUAGUUCCACCCCCUUACCUUUUGCUUUGUCCCGACUCUUUGAAGAUGGCACUUCCUUCUAGGUUUUACUUAUGUUUGCUUUUUGCUUGCAUUACUAGGGAGCAAAACAAAGAGUGUACAUAUGUUAGGCAAGUGUUUAACCACUACUCUUCUGAGAUGGGAAGGGAUAGUCAUACUUAGCAUCUUGGUUCCAAGUAAUUCCAAGAAAACAGUACUUGAUCAUGUUUGAUGUAAAAUCUUGAAUAAAAUCCCUUUUCCUCCAUGUUUCUAUUUUCAUGUUUUUUAUCCAUGUCAGGGGUGAUUGGCUUUUAAAAACAAAAACAACUAAAAAAUAAAUCAAAUGAUUGUUUAAAAAUAGUGUCAUUACAGUUGUCUAGUGACUUCAAGUGUUAUGGAAAUGUAAAAUACUUUGAAAGUGGUAUUGAUGGAUUGUACACAGUACCCCGUGUGCUAGAAAAGAUCUCUGGCUCUUUGUCUUUAAAACUGGAAAUUUAGCAUUGUCUACAGUAUUUAUGAAUACUCUUCCAGAAGGAAACAAUUCUUAUUUCCUGAUGCCAGUUAAAGUAGGUUAUUAUGGUCGGGCAGCAUGGUGCACAAAUACCUAUCUACAAACCCCAUCUCAAAGUUUUAAUAGAAAAUGCUGUGGUUGCCAUAAUGCUGUUAGGAGUCUCCGACUCUACCUGUUCUAGUUAAAACUUUCCUCUUAGCUAAUGUAAUGGUUUAAUUGGCAGCCUUCACCUUGUCCUUUUAAUUUAUCUAUCUGUCUAAAAGACUAUCAUAUAAAGGUGAUUUUAGAGUUCUAGCUUUAGAUAUGGUUCAUCACAAGUUAGGUGACUGCACAGAUAAAUGAGUCUUAAGUAUUUACGGCACGUAGCUGUGGCUCACAUCGUACUUUUUAUUUUUUCCCCAAAUAGAGAAUUACACUUGCUCACAGAGUAAGGGGACUAGAAAGUAUGUUCUUUUGGUGAGAUUUUUGUUUAUAGUUAUCUUAGUAGAUGCUCUCAGGUUUAGCAUAGAGGGCCCAAGGCAAUACUUUCUGAAAAGUUGCUGGCCUAGCUGCCUGAGAUACGCCUUUAAGGUUCUUGCUCUCAGAGUCAGAUGAGGAUGUUAAGCCCUGGGCCUUGAUUUUUAGUACUGCUUUUCCAAUUCAGGGGGUAACCUCACAAAGGAAACCUUCAAGUGUGAGUGUCAAAGACAGUUAUUAAGUAGGUGCGUUAACACAGGCAGCAGGACAGAGGCUUAUCACCAGGGUCAGAGGUUUAGCUCAGUGAUAGCACACUUUGGAAGUGUGUCUGAAACCAUACUGCUACAAACACAAACGGCCCCAUGGUAGAAAUGAGGUUAUACCUUGGCCUUUCUUAAAAGUAGGGACUUUUUUUUGGUUUUGGUUUUUUGAGACAGGGUUUCUCUGUGCAGCCCUGGCUGUCCUGGAACACACUCUGUAGGGACUUUUUGUUUUGUUUUUUCUUUACUUUUUUUGAGACAGGGUCUCUUGUAUGUAGCCCAGGCUGGCCUCCAUCUUGUGAUGUUGCUGGAGGUAACCUUGAACUUCUUGACCCUCCUCCCUUUUCCUCUCUGGCAUUACAAGAGUGUCAUCCACCACUGGACUGAGUCUUCUGUCUUCUGAUUGGUGAUCUGAACUAUGCCUAGUUACCUUAUGCAGUGAUGACUUAGCUUUGCAGGUUGGAAGCCUUAUAGAGCAGAUCUUUGGCUUUUCGUUUGUUUGUUUGUUUAUUAAUCUGACUAUAGUUAAAGACCAUGUUUUAAUCUGUCAGGAUCAUCACCUGAGGUAAAUAAGUACCAUCCUGGCUAAGUUCAUUGCUUUCAUGUUUUCGUUGUUUUUUAGAGAAUGUAGCCCUAGUAUGUCUGUGAAGAACAAAUGGCUUCAGACAGGAUGUGGUUCACUUGAGAAUAAUACUCUGAGGGUUUAGAAUGCAGUGGGAAGAGUACGUUUGGUGCUGGUCAGCUCACGGAAAGAGCUGUAGAACCAAUCGAACUCCCCAGGCAUCGCAUGUGUAGAUGAAUGAGAGGAGCAAAAGCUGUCUUAAGUAUAACUGUUGUCAGGGGGUAAGUUACUGACUAAUCAAAACAUGGAAUGAAUUGUUGCCAACGCAAAAAAACGCUGUUUUGUUAUGUGUACAGGUGUUUUGCCUGUGUAUGUCUGUGCACCAUAUUGGUGCAGCCUGGUAUGUGUGGAGGCCAGGAGAGGAUAGCUGGUGCCUUCGUGCUGGAGUUUCAGAUGGUUGUGAGCCACCUUGUAGGUGCCGAGAACCCUGCACCCCAGAGUACUAAAAACCCUAGAAGAAGCAGCUGGUGUUCUUAACUACUGAGCCAGAUCUAGCCCUAUUGCCAAAAAUUUGAAAUUUUCAAAUAAUGUAGAUGAUUUUAAAGAUUCUUUGCACUCAUCUUAAGCACAUGAAUAUAGUCUUAACAUUGUUGAUUUACGCUUAUCCCUUGCAGAGGUGUUGGGGUGAUACUCGUGAGACCAGGGGCUAACUUUUCAUGUUGGAUGACCCUGGCCUUCCAGUAGUUUCCCUUCUAUCUGUGUUCUUUCGGCAAUGCUGUGACUUAGUAUUUCCUUUCAUUUUUGUUGAGUUUCCCUUCUAAUUGGUCAGUAGAAAGGAUGCCUACACAUAGAUCCUUUUUUAGUACACAUUAGUAAAGAAUUCUCUAUAGAAGGCAGGGCUUAGAGAAACAGUCCUUGACUGUAAUGGUGUUAGACCCCUUGGAUACCUCUUGGAUCCAGAAAGGAUCCAAGUGAGCAGCCACGUAAGCAGGUACAUAUGGCAGGAUUUGGGUGUCACACCAUUACAGUCAUUGAUUGUUUCUCCCAUCCCAGCCUUCUGUAAGAAUAAAGAAUGCUUUAUUCUGGCUGGUUGGAACAUGUGUAAUUUUUGCUUUGUGAACACUUAAUUGUUUUGUGUAUAGCUCCAUGGUAGUUAUUUGCUUGGUCUGUAGAAUCUCCUGUUAGGUUUGUGUACCUUUGUUUCCAGGUAGCGACUCCAUGUACAUUUAGGUCUUUUUCUAUGAUUUCUUCCUCUUUGGUAUUGUGUCCUACACACUCUCACUCCUAGCUUCCCCAGGCUGUUUUCUGUGUCUCUGUUGAGAACAACACUUUGUUGUCUAAUAUCCUGGGGGUUCUUCCUAGUAGGGCUUUCCUCGUUGGUUUGUUCUUAAGCACACAGCUUGGGUUUGCGUUGUCUGUUACCUGGGUCUGAGAAAAGGCACUCCUUGUCCGUCACAGAGUCACAUCCAUCAGCUCUGGGUGUUGGGGAUGUUGUGCCUCUUGGUUUGCAGUCAACAGUUAACUCUGCUGUUUUGGAGAACACAAACUGUUCCCUCACUGGCUUCAUUAGCCAUCUUCUUCCUCAAGUCCGUGUUCCCAGCCUCUCCUGGCAUAGCUGAGCAAACUCUAGCGCAGGCAGUUAUGGAAGGAGCCAAGGGAGCAAGUACAGCAUGCUUUCUCAUAGUUUUUUGAAGAUAAGAUUUGCAUUUUAAAUGGUAUCUCAUUCAAGUGUAGACUCAAAUUAAGUUCCUUACAAAGGCAGUGUGGUUGAUUGUACCAGCCAGGAAGAGCACUCAGAGCAAGCCUGCCUCCAUCCUGGUGGGAAGCCAAGCAGACGCUAAGGGCUGAUCAUCACUUGUACAAUUGUAGCCAGUAUAUAGUCCUAGGAAUGUACUUUUCUCUUUGCAGUUCACCUUGGUUUUGAACACUACUCAGUCUCAAUUACUAAUUAUUUUCUUUUUGUCCUUCUCUGGGGUUCUCAUUAGCAACUGUGGCUUAGACAUAUGUUACCUGUUUAGUAGUGGGUUUAAGUGUGAAGCCUAAGCUUGGACUGUUGUAUUACUCAGGACUAUUUCCACUGUUGCACAGUAAACAGACAGGCCAUGCAUGAGGAUAAGUUAUUACUGCUUCCCAGUCAUUUUCAGCAUCUUUCACUUAGCUUGGCAGGCAGCUGCUUUCAACUCGUCUAGCAGCUGUGGGUUGAGCUCUGAGAAGGAGAUUCAGUGUCAGCUCCUCUGGGUCGUCUGAAAUGGUUUCUUGCUUUCUGGGAUACAGACCCCCAAAUAAUUGUGCUACGGUCCCAAAACUAACCUUUUCCUUUGAAGCGCAUGCGUUAGGUAAUAUCUGCUCAUUUAAAACACUUGCCUUUACUAUCUGUCCCUUGAACUCUACGUGCUAGUCCAAUUAAAUGUUUUUUUUUUCCUGUUUAGUGGGAGAGGGGCCUGUAGAGGUCAGAGGGCAACUUAGAGGUGCUCUUUGUUUUCCUAUGGUGUCAGCUUUGGUGGCAAAUGCCUUUACCUGCUCAAAAUUAUCUCUCCAGCCCAAUUUAAAAAAACAAAACAAAACAAAAAAACAGGGGAACGAGGGAGUCAUGGUUUCAGAGACUGGGUUUCUCUCUGUGUGUGGCCCUGGCUGUCCCGGAACUCACUCUCUAGCCCAAGCUGGCCUUAGACUCAGAGAUCUGCCUGCCUCUGCCCCCUGAGUGCUGGGGUUAAAGGUGUGUAUGGCACACCUUUACUAAGUAUGCAACCAAGUAUGUUUAACUCAGGACCCAUGGGUGUCAUGUGCUCAAGGAUAGCUGUGAGUGCAUCCCAACAUAAAAUUGUAAAUACUUGAAGAUACUGUAUCUUAGUGGUUUUUUUCACUCUGGUUUUGUAAUUCUUUGACUUCCCCAGCUGAACUGUGUAGAUGUUGCCAUUGUGUUACAAUGUGAAAUGAUGGGCAUGCCUAGAGGAUGCCUUCUCAUGGACACACUACCUGCUCUGCCUGCUCUGUCUGUCUGAGGCUGGUCCUCCUGUCUGUCUGAGGCUGGUCCUCCUGUCUGUCUGAGGCUGGUCCUCCUGGUUACUGUCCUCUGUCAACCAGGGGGAGCCCCCUUAGCUAAGAUCAUAUUCUCUGAGAAUCUUUCUCUUCUCAAGACUGGUCUGACACUGUGCUGUAUUGUAGUGAGUGAUAACUGCUAUCUAUAAUUGUAUGUAAUAGACCACAAGCUCUUUGAGAACCAUGUCCUUCAGUUUAAGAGAAUUUCCAAACCCAUAACCACUUUUGAAAAUAUUAGAAAAAUUAGCAUACUUCUGGUAAUAAAGUCUUUAUUUUAUUUUUAUUUUUUAAUUUAUUAGGUAUUUUCUUCAUUUACAUUUCCAAUGUUAUCUCAAAAGUCCCCCAUACCUUGCCCCCACUCCCCUACCCCCCCCACUCCCACUUCUUGGCCCUGGCGUUCCCCUGUACUGGGGCAUAUAAAAUUUGCACGACCAAUGGGCCUCUCUUUCCAGUGAUGUCCGACUAGGCCAUCUUCUGCUACAUAUGCAGCCAGAGACACGAGCUCUGGGGGUGCUGGUUAGUUCCUAUUGUUGUUCCACCUAUAGGGUUGCAGACUCCUUUAGCUCCUUGGGUACUUUCUCUAGCUCCUCCAUUGGGGACCCUGUGUUCCCUCCAGUAGCUGACUGUGAGCAUCCAUUUCUGUGUUUGCUAGGCCCAUAUUUUAUUUUUUCAGUGUUGAAAAUUAACCCUAGGUUUUUAUGCGUGCUAGGCAAGAAUCUACCACUGAGCUGGAUUCUCAGCUGUCAGACUUACGUAAAAACUGUCUUGAUUCUAAGUUUUAAAAAAGAAGGUGAGUACGCCGCAUAAUCAUUCACAGUUUAUUGAACUCACAUGUGGGGAGAAGUAUUGCUGGAGUUGUGUAUUUAAGAAUGGGUUGUCAAGCUAAUAUUUUUAUAAUUGAAUUGGAGUAUAAAAAUUGGGAAUAAAAAACAUACAGAGUUGUGUUUUGAGAUAAAGUUUUUAUUGUCAAAUGUUUAUAUAUGUAAUUUUAAUGUAUUUUUACAGUCUUGAGUUUGGUGUGUAGGCUUUUGAAAUAGUACAGAAUGGUGUGCAUCUGGUUCAGGGCUGAAGGACUUGGAAGAAGAGAACUGGUUUGUCUCUAACACUGGCUCUGAAGGGUGGGUCUCGGGAGUUGGCUGGCCAUUCGGUGUAUCCAAUCAGUGAUCCUUCAGUGAAAAACACUGUCUCAGAAAAUAAGUUGGAGGGAGAUGGAGGGCUGCUGUGGAGCUCUGUCUUCCACAUGCAUUCAGUCUGCACCCAUACCCGAUACACACCUUGUUUCUGUUCCAUGAGGCCUUGCAGCUGCAAUAGCAGACUAGGAGGUACAUUACAGUGAGUGUGUCUAGAGCAAGUGAGCUAAACCUCCUGGGGGAGGAGACGAGAGCAUUUGAUCCAACUCAGAUAUAAUGGACUAUCUGCAGAAGACAGUGAGACUUGCCUUUCUCUUUUUUAGAGAAAAGCCGGCUUUUUUGGUUUUGGUUUUGGUUUCUUUUGGCUUUAUUCUGUUGUUUUCUUGCUUUUUGCACAUUUAGAAAAGCAGUAGGAACAGUUUGAAAGGCCCUUUAAGUUCGGUUCCCACAAGAACCCCAGGUUUAGGGUACAAGCAGCUCUAUAAUAUGAGUAAAAAUUCAGAUUCAAGGUCUUUGAACUUUUAUGAAGCUUAUUUAAUUGAGUGAUUGGCUCCAGGUAUGACACUGUGUGCCUGUGCUCCUGCACUUGGGAGUGAGUUCUAGGCCAGGCUGCCUAGAUAAUAAGACCCUAUUUUGAAAGAACACCCCUCCAUCCCUGUACAUAGUCCCUCCCCUUAGUAAGCAAUGAAAAUGAAGUUAAGGCAACAGAAGCACACUUUGUUACAUUGUUAGUGGCAGGGACUAGAAACCCACUCAGCUAUCUUCAGUGUUUGAGUACAUAUUGCUAUUGAUAAGGACCCAAGUUCAGUUCCCAGCAUCCACUUUGGGUGGUACACAACUGUAAUUCUCAUUCUGAUAUCUUUAACCUCAUCAGGCACCUGCCCUCAAGUGUACACACACACUUAAAAAACAAAAACAACCACAACAACAACAACAAACCGGAGCUGGAGGGGCUGGAGCAGUAAAGAGCAUUGCUGUGUUUGCGGAGGACCCACAGCAGGUGGCUCACAAUCACCUGCAAGUCCAGGUUAAAAAUGUCCAAAUGAGCUCUGAAGAAUGCUCUCCACCAUGGAAAUGGAAGCUUGGCCCCUGGAAGAAGAUGGUGGUGCACUGAAUAGUAAAAUUUUCCAUCUUCCUCCUCCUGUUUUUCUCUCUCCCUCCUCUGUUGAUGGCUGUACAUGCAAAUACUGCCUAGAAAAUGGACAAUAAGGUCUUUUAGCCAUAAUAAAUGUUUAUGUUCAUAAGAGUCAGUAAAAUUUGGCCAGAAAGGGUAGUGGAAAUAGCUUAGAUAUAGGUACUGUUAUUAAAUACCAUCUCUUAGCCUGACAGCUAAAUGUCUGUAUGUCAAGGUGAUAAAUAAAGUGAAAUUGAGAACUCUGUGCUGCUGAUAAACUCACUGUUAGCAUCGUGUAAGGAUCAAGCAGACAGUUCUUACAGAGUCAGCACACAGCAGUCCCGUUGGAAAGUUAUAACUUCACAUCACACAGGAAGCACGCAUCAUCUUCACAAGUAGAGUCAGAACCAGAGUGAAAGUGUGUUGUUGGUUCUAUGGAGGUUUAGGAUUUUUUUCAUUUUAUUGUAAUAUUUGGAUGAACACCUGUGGUGAGUUGAAACUGUUCUAACAUCUUCUGUUUGAGACAGGGGUUUCCUUUGUAGUCUGCCUUGAAUAAUGAAUGGUACCUGUGUUAAGUUUAUGAAAUUUAAAAUAUAGCAGUGUCUGGCAUAUAGUAUACAAAACAAAUAUUAGAACUUUUGUUGUGGUGUUUUUAGACAUGCUGCCCUCAGAUUUUUCAUCCUUCUACUUUAGCCCUCUGAAUGUUUGACUUAGGUAUACUCUAUCAUAUUUGGCUUUGUUAGCUGCCUCUUAUUACAUGGUUGCACAUCUGUCUUUUCUGGUCACAUCCUUGUCAUUCUCCCGAGGGGAGCAUUGGGGAUCUAACCACGGAGGUGACAAUGUCACUUAAUGUGUUGCUCUUACUUGGGAUCAAAGACACAGUUUCUUUCUGUCAUUUUAUUUUAUUUUAUUUUAUUUUAUUUUAUUUAGGCAGCAUCUCACUUGAUAGCUCCAGCUGUCCUGUAUGUAAUUCACUCACUACAUAGACCAGGUUGACCUCAAAUUCAAGAGAUCCACCCGCCUUUGUCUCUCAGUUGCUGAACUUAAAGCUGUAAGGCAUCGCACUCAGCCUCUUUCUUUUAAAAAAUUUGAA